UUUCCUUCUCUUUCAUUUUUUUUUUCGCCUUUUCUUUCUCUUAACUCCAACAAAGUUUGCUGCUGCUGCUGCUUGUGAUCUAACUUCUGAGUCCUACCUUGCCUGUAAAAGAUAAAGUCUCGGACUUCAGUUUUAACUGCAAAAAUUCCUUGAAUUUUACGUCCAUUUCUGAAGCUGCAUUUGCUG